rnacentral:rRNA from 1 species
CGCGGCCUAUCAGCUUGUUGGUGGGGUGAUGGCCUACCAAGGCAACGACGGGUAGCCGGCCUGAGAGGGCGACCGGCCACACUGGGACUGAGACACGGCCCAGACUCCUACGGGAGGCAGCAGUGGGGAAUAUUGCACAAUGGGCGCAAGCCUGAUGCAGCGACGCCGCGUGAGGGAUGACGGCCUUCGGGUUGUAAACCUCUUUCGCCAGGGACGAAGCCUUUUGGGGUGACGGUACCUGGAGAAAAAGCACCGGCUAACUACGUGCCAGCAGCCGCGGUAAUACGUAGGGUGCGAGCGUUGUCCGGAAUUAUUGGGCGUAAAGAGCUCGUAGGCGGUUUGUCGCGUCGGCCGUGGAAACUGGAGGCUUAACCUUCAGCGUGCGGUCGAUACGGGCAGACUUGAGUUCGGUAGGGGAGUCUGGAAUUCCUGGUGUAGCGGUGAAAUGCGCAGAUAUCAGGAGGAACACCGGUGGCGAAGGCGGGACUCUGGGCCGAUACUGACGCUGAGGAGCGAAAGCGUGGGGAGCGAACAGGAUUAGAUACCCUGGUAGUCCACGCUGUAAACGUUGGGCGCUAGGUGUGGGUGACAUUCCACGUUGUCCGUGCCGUAGCUAACGCAUUAAGCGCCCCGCCUGGGGAGUACGG